UUUGUGCUAAUACCGCAUAUUGAGUAUUAUUCGCAAUGUUUAAUACUUGAAAGAUUUUAUCGCUUACAGAUGGACUCGCGUCUGAUUAGCUAGUUGGUGAGGUAACGGGCUCACCAAGGCGACGAUCAGUAGCCGAACUGAGAGGUUGAUCGGCCACAUUGGGACUGAGACACGGCCCAGACUCCUACGGGAGGCAGCAGUGGGGGAUAUUGCGCAAUGGGGGAAACCCUGACGCAGCAACGCCGCGUGAUUGGAAGACGGUCUUCGGAUUGUAAACAUCUGUUGCAAGGGAAGAAAAAAAUGACGGUACCUUGUGAGGAAGCCACGGCUAACUACGUG
rnacentral:rRNA from 1 species